CUCUAAGUCACAGGACACUCUGGAAGGUGGUGGAAGGAGGCAAGUGAAGGCUCCGGGUCACCUUCCACCCUCUGGCAGCACAUAGGGACCAGCGGGGACCCAGCGACAUCGGAUGAACCCAGGACAGAAUUCACAAGGGAUGAAAGAUUGUCUACCAGGACGCAUGGCCGCGGGGACAGUAGGCUGGCACGCAGGAUGCUCAGCGUGGACUGUUCAGUGCCUUGACGGCGGUGAAGAUGCAGAACUAACCUGCUGAAUUAAGGCCGUCACUGUGUGCAAAGCACUGAGGAUGCUGCCUGGCAGGGAACAGAGGGCCGCUGGAGCAGAGGCUUAUGCAUUAGCCGAUGCCGGAUCCCAUGUCGAGAGAGAUUCUGAGUGUGAGCCCAACACACAGACGCUGGGAGCCACUGUAGUUCCUGCACAA